CUCUGAUCAAAGGGCAAGCAAAUUCCACUCCUCGGAGCCUGCUUCUCAUCUGCAGUUUUAAAAUUAACCAGCCUAAAAUCCUCAUCACCUCCCUCGUGGUUCCUGGGGGUGUGCCUGAAGUUUGAGGGUCAGAGCAGGAAGUGAGGGGCCAGCCAGGCCGGAGGAGACCGAGCUGUGUGCUUGCUGCCCUCUGACCCCUGGGGCGGAGGGCAGGGGCCUCCGUCCACGGAAGGGACUCCUGCUGGGAGGCAGUCUAGGCCUUUGCUUUCUUUCUCUGCCCUUGGGCCCACCAGCAAUAGGCUAAUGUGCUUUCUGUGUUUCCACGAGAAGGUGGCUGAAGGCAGGAUCUCCCAGACUUUGAUCAGGAAGAGUCUUUGCUGGCAGCGCAUCUAUCAAUGUCUCCAGAACAACGUUCCUCAUGGCACACUGAUCGAACGCGGUUCCCGUCCUCCUUUGACAACAGUGCCUUCAAGGGCGGGCCCUCAUAUCAAACUGCCUUCUUUGCUCUCAGUCUGAACCCAGUACAAGCAACCCUAACGCUGCCUUGAGCACAAGCGUCUUGAUGGAGGUCAUCUCUGCUGAUCCCCUCCACGUCCUCCUGAACUCUCACUACUCCAUGUUCAUAUUCCCACACAGCCAGCACCCUACUGAUGCUGCCCCUGCUCCUCCUGCUCCACGUGUUCAAAACCAGCCUGAGCAUCCCGCAGCCCCGUCUGACUUCUUCUCCGAGUGGAUGAUGCUGCUGUUCGGCCCGGUCACCGAGAGGAACGUGCUCUUCCUCUCCCUCCUGUUGCAGCGUCUGAGCUUCAGGCACCUCUCACCUCUUACCUGGGCUCCUGGAGGAGCUUCUGUUUGGUCUGCCCAACUCCCGCGUUGCCCCUUCAAAUGCCCCCUCCACUCCGCAGCCACCAUGACCCUCGCUGACCCCCCGCUCUGCUGACGGCAGGUGCCCCCAAGUGUGUUUCCAAGAAGAUGCAAUCAGUGUGCUGUAUUCAGUGUUAUAUGAACACAAAGGUUUUCAUGGUCAUGAAGUUGGAGAAAAGAGGGAAAAUUAGUUAGGUUUAAUUACUUUCCAGAGUCUUCGACAUGCUAAAACACAUUUUGGAGCUCCAACUGGGGGGUGCUUAAUAAAACCUUUGGCAAACUUUCUAGCAACAAAGGUGUAGUUUUUUGGAAUACACUGGAUAUAGCUGUUCUACGAGCUGAAAUGUGAUUUCCUUGUCUUCUCUCAUUGCUUUUCAUCUCCAGCUACUCUUCUUGUGUAGACAGUGGGAGGACAGCAGUGUGGUACUCUGGAU
rnacentral:lncRNA from 1 species